rnacentral:rRNA from 1 species
UAGCUGUCUAAUAGACUCUGUAUUAUAGACUUAACGUAUGUCUAAUCGUUUACAGAUCUCUCACUUUACGGGGAGGUAGUGACGAGAAAUAUUGGGGACGCUCCUAGAGAGCGCCAUCCGGAAUGAACGUAACUCAAACAAUUCGAUGAGGAUCUACUGGAGGGCAAGUCUGGUGCCAGCAGCCGCGGUAAUUCCAGCUCCAGUAGUGUAUAUCAACAUUGUUGCGCUUAAAACGCUCGUAGUUGGAUUACAGGACUAUAAACACUAUCGCAUUGGUGCGUAGGUGGCCGUAGCAUGCCCUGUCAAAUGGCCUUUUGCGUUAUGGUUCCCACGACGUAAAAGUGCCGGUUGGCGGGAAGCGUGGCGUAGUCCUUUUGUCGCACUGGUCCCGUAAAGCUCCUUUGACGGUGCUGAGCGGAAACCGGUGGAGUGUGCCUUGAAUAAAGCAUAGUGCUCAAUGCAAGCGUACGCUCGUGUGUAAUAGCAUGGAACGAAUAUGUAUGUCCGGUCGUCGAGCCGUUGUCAUGUGCAAUGUGCAUUGCGUGUGCUGCUGUCCUUACGGCGGUGGUAUAUCGCGGUGUACGCGUGUGUGUGCAGCUGCCGGCGACUAGGUUCGAUCAGUGUUGGUUGGAACCACGGUCUCAACGGUUAAAAGGGACAUCUGAGGGCACUAGUACUUUGUGGCGAGAGGUGAAAUUCUUUAUCGCUCAUUACAGCGAUUCGAAUAUUUCAGCAUUCCAAGAGUGUUUUCAUUAAUCAAGAACGAAGGUCAGAGGAUCGAAGACGAUCAGAUACCGUCCUAGUUUUGACAGAAAACGAUGCCAGCAUAGGGUCGCAGCGGCCGCUCGUAGUUAGCGAGUCGUGCUACUGCGGUCCUUAGGGGAAACUAAGCUUUCGGGCUGCUGGGAGAAUAUCGCUGCAAGGCUGAAAUUUAAAGAAAUUGACGGAGAGGCACCACCAGGAGUGGAGCCUGCGGCUUAAUUUGACUCAACACGGGGAAACUCACCAGGUCCAGACAUUGGUAGGAUUGACAGAUUGGUAGAUUCUUUAUGAUUCGAUGAAWGGUGGUGCAUGGCCGUUUUUAGUUGGUGGAGUGAUUUGUCAGGUUUAUUCCGGUAACGAUUGAGACCCCGGCCUUUAGUUGGUGGUUGGACUGUGACGCAGUGCAAAUGGUAUAGCCUGUGUCGUGUCUGCUAGCCUAACAAGAGGGACCAUCGGUGAAAAGCCGGAGGAAGCGUGGCAAUAACAGGUCUGUGAUGCCCUUCGAUGUCCUGGGCUGCACGCGCGCUACAAUGGCAGCAGUAGAGAGUAGCUGGCCAGAGAUGGAUGGCGAAACUGUAAAUAGCUGUCGUGACAGGGAUUGAGCCUUGUAAUUGUUGCUCAUGAAAGAGGAAUUCCUCGUAAGCACGAGUCAUCAACUUGUGUUGAAUAUGUCUCUGCCUCUUGUACACACCGCCCGUCGCUACUACCGAUUGAAUUGUUUCUAAAGCUGGCUGGACCUCUAGCCUAGACUCUAGACCUUUAGCUACAGAUUGUCUACGCGAAUAGCGUGUCAUUUAAGCUAUGCGACAGUCACUUGCGUGAAUCGAUGACGUCUAGCAUGCUCGCAU